CUUUAAGCCAUUUUUCAUCUCCCUGGAUUCUAGGUUGACUUGAUGCCAAAGUGGCCCCUGGCAUAACUGAGAGCAGGAAUGCUCUAAAUUACACUAGUUAGAACAGUUCCCAGGGGCCUAUCCUAUGCCACUUGCUCCUUUCCGCCUUGGCCACCUAUGAAGGCCUCCUACACUGCCUUAUUCUGUGCAGGGAUUUCCUACGUUGGGGAAUGCCCAGCUGCCCUAUUACAGUACAAAGGUGAUGGAGAAUCAUUCCCUAAACAUUUCCAGUAUAAAUAUAGAAAUUCUGUUACAGAAAAUUGCAGAGCUAACAUAACAUUAGCAUUUUGUCAUCUUAAUGACUUUGCUUGAGCAUCGCAUUUUUCCUCCCUACCUUCCAUGUGUGUUUUAGUAUUUUGACAGAGAAAGGGCUUGCUUUUCAUUAGCCUGUAAAGUCUUCAAGGUGUGGACUUUUUAGGUUGAGUAAAGAAUGGUAUGGAGAACAAUACAGGAAAUAUUUUAUACCGGUGAUGAAGGGGCAACUUUUUACUUUAGUGAGAAUCAGAGUCCCAGGAUGGCUGAGGCCGACAGGGCCCUCUGGAGCCCACCUGGUCCAACCCCUGCUGAAGCAGGGACACCCAUAGCAGGCUGCCCAGGACCAUGUCCAGGUGGCUUUUGAAGAUCUCCAAGGAGGAAGACUUCACAGUCUUGCUGGGUCACCUAUUCCAUUGUUCAGUCAUGAUGAUAUCACGAUGAAUAUUGCAUGUGGUACUAUAGUACUGCCAUUUCCAAAAGGAGACUGCCAUUAUGGAGAUGUGACAGAAGGGCUGGAGCAUGGGAGAACCAAAGUGGGGCUGGAACUGAUCCACUCAGAAAACAAGUGGCAAGCUCAAAGCCAGUCCAAGAAAAUAUUUUCUCAUGUAAGGAGGUGUUGACUGUGACACUGGAGGCUUCACCAACACCUGGUGGUGAGGAAUAUAGAAAAAAUAUUCAAAGUGAGGUAAGUACAAUAACAAGAUCAUCCCCUUUUAUAGUUAAUGCUUUAAAAGAGGAGUAG
rnacentral:lncRNA from 1 species